CUAAAAAAUGAUAGUUAAAAAAUACCACUAAUGAUCUUUUUCUUGAUUACAAUUCUGAGAUUCUACUAUCCAUUUAAUCUGACUGAUAAACAUAAAGAUGGUUGAAUAAUGAUGAAGAUGAAUAUUUUGAAAGUAUUUAUCUCGCUAUAUUCAAAAACUUUUUCUACAACCAGUUGGUUUUAGCUAUGGUAUGCAAAGAUUCCGAGAGCUGUUAAAGGGACAAAAGUCCUAAAGUCCAAACACAGUAUUAUUCAUAUUAAUACAACAGAAACCAUCCUUAAUAGGGAUUGAAUUUUUUUCCUGUUCCCAGCUACUUCUAUACAAAAGUUGUUAAUCUAAUUUUAAAUGAUUUGAAAGGUGUAAAAUGUGUAUUUUAUUUGCUUUAAUGUAUUACAUAUUUCUUAUGUAUUUGUGUUUUUCUAUGUAAAGUUUCAUGUACACACUGACUGGCCUUAUUGUGUCUGACCCACACUAGGAUUAGGAUUUCCACCUAGUAGUUAUGCAUUAGGACUGUUAUGUAGUUAUGUCUUUUACAGAAAGCUUAACGUAGCCAUGAAAUUACAUUUAGUCUUCCUUGAGUGUUUCCUCAACAUUCACAAUAACUUAAUUAAUUUACUAAAUUUAAUAAGGUAAAUCAGAAAAAAAACAUUUUUUAUUAUGCAAUAUCCACUUGGUCUUUAUUUCUUUUGAUGUACUUGUAUUCACUCCAAUAAUCAGGAUUUGAAUGUGCCUGAAUGAGGUACCAUGGAAUCACUUCUUCCACCAGUUUUGAUAUAAUAUUAGAUUUAAUGUUAUACUGAAUUUGGGUAUUAUCUGCAAACUUGAAAUGUGUUCAUGGUGUGAAAGGGUUUUGUUGUAAUUUUUUGUUUACCUUUUUUAACCAUUUAUGCAUUCAUACAGCUGGAGAAAAUAAAACGAACAUUUCUCAUCCCUCAGUUUUUCUUUAUGUUUCCUGUUUCUUAAGAUUUGUUAGAUUUGUCAGAUAUUAAAUUAUAUAAAAAAGGAAGCCUAGAAAACACAACCACAAUACAUAAAACACAAUGUAUAUUAUACUGAAAAUAAAAUAGGCAACUAUUUGCUAAUGGUUUGCAUACUUUAUUUCUAUGUAUUGUUAAAAUAAAGGUUUUUAUCAUACAACUUA